CGGUGUUUAACUGGCGUGAUGUGGGACGUCCUACCGGUGGGCUUAGCCUCGCGAGGGGCGGCCCAACUAAUAUCCCGUCGCGGUGCUCUUUACUGAGUGUCGAGUCGGGCCGGUACGUUUACUUUGAACAAAUUAGAGUGCUUAAAGCAGGCUAUCCUCGCCUGAAUACUGCGUGCAUGGAAUAAUGGAAUAGGACCUCGGUUCUAUUUUGUUGGUUUUCGGAACCCCGAGGUAAUGAUUAAUAGGGACAGAUGGGGGCAUUCGUAUUGCGACGUUAGAGGUGAAAUUCUUGGAUCGUCGCAAGACGGACAGAAGCGAAAGCAUUUGCCAAAAAUGUUUUCAUUAAUCAAGAACGAAAGUUAGAGGUUCGAAGGCGAUCAGAUACCGCCCUAGUUCUAACCAUAAACGAUGCCAGCUAGCGAUCCGCCGAAGUUCCUCCGAUGACUCGGCGGGCAGCUUCCGGGAAACCAAAGCUUUUGGGUUCCGGGGGAAGUAUGGUUGCAAAGCUGAAACUUAAAGGAAUUGACGGAAGGGCACCACCAGGAGUGGAGCCUGCGGCUUAAUUUGACUCAACACGGGAAACCUCACCAGGCCCAGACACCGGAAGGAUUGACAGAUUGAUAGCUCCUUCUUGAUUCGGUGGGUGGUGGUGCAUGGCCGUUCUUAGUUGGUGGAGCGAUUUGUCUGGUUAAUUCCGAUAACGAACGAGACUCUAGCCUGCUAAAUAGGCGUACCUUAUGGUAUCGCGAAGGCCCCCGGCUUCGGCCGGUGGGUUUUUACUACCAACGUACAAACAAAUCUUCUUAGAGGGACAGGCGG
rnacentral:rRNA from 1 species